rnacentral:rRNA from 1 species
GAUGAACGCUGGCGGCGUGCCUAAUACAUGCAAGUAGAACGCUGAAGGAGGAGCUUGCUCUUCUGGAAGAGUUGCGAACGGGUGAGUAACGCGUAGGUAACCUGCCUCUUAGCGGGGGAUAACUAUUGGAAACGAUAGCUAAUACCGCAUAAAAGUCGACAUUGCAUGAUGUUGACUUGAAAGGUGCAAUUGCAUCACUAAGAGAUGGACCUGCGUUGUAUUAGCUAGUUGGUGAGGUAACGGCUCACCAAGGCGACGAUACAUAGCCGACCUGAGAGGGUGAUCGGCCACACUGGGACUGAGACACGGCCCAGACUCCUACGGGAGGCAGCAGUAGGGAAUCUUCGGCAAUGGGGGCAACCCUGACCGAGCAACGCCGCGUGAGUGAAGAAGGUUUUCGGAUCGUAAAGCUCUGUUGUAAGAGAAGAACGAGUGUGAGAGUGGAAAGUUCACGCUGUGACG